UACAGAGGUCCCAAGCGUUGUUCGGAUUCACUGGGCGUAAAGGGUGCGUAGGUGGUGAGGUAAGUCGGAUGUGAAAUCUCCGGGCUCAACCCGGAAAUGGCAUUGAAAACUACCUUGCUAGAGGAUUUGAGGGGGGAUUGGAAUACUUGGUGUAGCAGUGAAAUGCGUAGAUAUCAAGUGGAACACCAGUGGCGAAGGCGAAUCCCUGGAAAAUACCUGACACUGAGGCACGAAAGCUAGGGGAGCAAACAGG
rnacentral:rRNA from 1 species